rnacentral:rRNA from 1 species
UGGGCGUAAGCGCGCGCAGGCGGUUUCUUAAGUCUGAUGUGAAAGCCCCCGGCUCAACCGGGGAGGGUCAUUGGAAACUGGGGAACUUGAGUGCAGAAGAGGAGAGUGGAAUUCCACGUGUAGCGGUGAAAUGCGUAGAGAUGUGGAGGAACACCAGUGGCGAAGGCGACUCUCUGGUCUGUAACUGACGCUGAGGCGCGAAAGCGUGGGGAGCGAACAGGAUUAGAUACCC